GACGAACGCUGGCGGCGUGCCUAAUACAUGCAAGUCGAACGAACUCUGGUAUUGAUUGGUGCUUGCAUCAUGAUUUACAUUUGAGUGAGUGGCGAACUGGUGAGUAACACGUGGGAAACCUGCCCAGAAGCGGGGGAUAACACCUGGAAACAGAUGCUAAUACCGCAUAGCAACUUGGACCGCAUGGUCCGAGUUUGAAAGAUGGCUUCGGCUAUCACUUUUGGAUGGUCCCGCGGCGUAUUAGCUAGAUGGUGAGGUAACGGCUCACCAUGGCAAUGAUACGUAGCCGACCUGAGAGGGUAAUCGGCCACAUUGGGACUGAGACACGGCCCAAACUCCUACGGGAGGCAGCAGUAGGGAAUCCUCCACAAUGGACGAAAGUCUGAUGGAGCAACGCCGCGUGAGUGAAGAAGGGUUUCGGCUCGUAAAACUCUGUUGUUAAAGAAGAACAUAUCUGAGAGUAACUGUUCAGGUAUUGACGGUAUUUAACCAGAAAGCCACGGCUAACUACGUGCCAGCAGCCGCGGUAAUACGUAGGUGGCAAGCGUUGUCCGGAUUUAUUGGGCGUAAAGCGAGCGCAGGCGGUUUUUUAAGUCUGAUGUGAAAGCCUUCGGCUCAACCGAAGAAGUGCAUCGGAAACUGGGAAACUUGAGUGCAGAAGAGGACAGUGGAACUCCAUGUGUAGCGGUGAAAUGCGUAGAUAUAUGGAAGAACACCAGUGGCGAAGGCGGCUGUCUGGUCUGUAACUGACGCUGAGGCUCGAAAGUAUGGGUAGCAAACAGGAUUAGAUACCCUGGUAGUCCAUACCGUAAACGAUGAAUGCUAAGUGUUGGAGGGUUUCCGCCCUUCAGUGCUGCAGCUAACGCAUUAAGCAUUCCGCCUGGGGAGUACGGCCGCAAGGCUGAAACUCAAAGGAAUUGACGGGGGCCCGCACAAGCGGUGGAGCAUGUGGUUUAAUUCGAAGCUACGCGAAGAACCUUACCAGGUCUUGACAUACUAUGCAAAUCUAAGAGAUUAGACGUUCCCUUCGGGGACAUGGAUACAGGUGGUGCAUGGUUGUCGUCAGCUCGUGUCGUGAGAUGUUGGGUUAAGUCCCGCAACGAGCGCAACCCUUAUUAUCAGUUGCCAGCAUUAAGUUGGGCACUCUGGUGAGACUGCCGGUGACAAACCGGAGGAAGGUGGGGAUGACGUCAAAUCAUCAUGCCCCUUAUGACCUGGGCUACACACGUGCUACAAUGGAUGGUACAACGAGUUGCGAACUCGCGAGAGUAAGCUAAUCUCUUAAAGCCAUUCUCAGUUCGGAUUGUAGGCUGCAACUCGCCUACAUGAAGUCGGAAUCGCUAGUAAUCGCGGAUCAGCAUGCCGCGGUGAAUACGUUCCCGGGCCUUGUACACACCGCCCGUCACACCAUGAGAGUUUGUAACACCCAAAGUCGGUGGGGUAACCUUUUAGGAACCAGCCGCCUAAGGUGGGACAGAUGAUUAGGGUG
rnacentral:rRNA from 1 species